AUUCAUUUGACAGGUGUUCUGAUAUAUAAAUUCGAAUUUUCCUCUAACAUUUAUUAAACAACCACAACUCAAAAGAAUAGCCUCUGUAGUUUAAUAAAUUUUACGAUGAAAUCAUCAGUUGCUUUGUUGUUGAUGGUUAUCGUAGCAAUGCUAAUUAUCUGUGACGAAACCAGUGCCGAAGCACCAGGCGGAAUGGGAGGUGCCAGACGCAACUAUGGUAAACUGGCCAGUCACGCGAUAACACUAGACAAACGUGACGACUAUUUAAGUAAGGAGGAAUUGGUCAGUCUAGCGAAAACCCUUAAUUUGAAUCCCAAAUCAAAAGAUUUUGUGAAGAUUCUAAAAUUGGCUGAUGCAAACAAAGAUGGAAACAUAACAGCCGAUGAAGUUAAAGUAGUCAAGCUGAUUAAAUUGAUGAUUUCAUUAUUAGGAACCAAUUAAUUACGUCAUAUCCAUUACAGAUGACUUAACCAAAUCUGAGAUAGAAUCCAAAUCAAAGAGAAAACAAAUACAAUUAUGUAAACAUUUAAUUUUCAAAAAUAUAAAUUGCUUAACUACAUUAAUACACAUGAUGUAUUUCUAAAUAUCCAACAUUUGAAAAUAAAACAUUUAUCGUAA